CGACCGGCGCACGGGUGCGUAACGCGUAUGCAACCUACCUUUAACAGGGGGAUAACACUGAGAAAUUGGUACUAAUACCCCAUAAUAUCAUAGAAGGCAUCUUUCAUGGUUGAAAAUUCCGAUGGUUAGAGAUGGGCAUGCGUUGUAUUAGCUAGUUGGUGGGGUAACGGCUCACCAAGGCGACGAUACAUAGGGGGACUGAGAGGUUAACCCCCCACACUGGUACUGAGACACGGACCAG
rnacentral:rRNA from 1 species